rnacentral:rRNA from 1 species
UACGUAGGGUGCAAGCGUUUGUCCGGAAUUAUUGGGCGUAAAGGGCUCGUAGGCGGUUUGUCGCGUCGGGAGUGAAAACCUCGGGCUUAACUCGGGGCUUGCUUUCGAUACGGGCAGACUAGAGGUAUGCAGGGGAGAACGGAAUUCCUGGUGUAGCGGUGAAAUGCGCAGAUAUCAGGAGGAACACCGGUGGCGAAGGCGGGUCUCUGGGCAACAACUGACGCUGAGGAGCGAAAGUGUGGGGAGCGAACAGG